GGCGUCCCCCCUGGAGAGAGGUGGCCCCCGAGGUCAUCCACCGAAGGAGCAAGCGCGGCAUCGCCCGCGUGAAUCUCUCAGGUAAAGCGGACAGUGGGGCAGCG
rnacentral:ncRNA from 2 species